AACCAGCGGAGGGAUCAUUACUGAGUUUACGCUCUACAACCCUUUGUGAACAUACCUAUAACUGUUGCUUCGGCGGGCAGGGUCUCCGUGACCCUCCCGGCCUCCCGCCCCCGGGCGGGUCGGCGCCCGCCGGAGGAUAACCAAACUCUGAUUUAACGACGUUUCUUCUGAGUGGUACAAGCAAAUAAUCAAAACUUUUAACAACGGAUCUCUUGGUUCUGGCAUCGAUGAAGAACGCAGCGAAAUGCGAUAGUAAUGUGAAUUGCAGAAUUCAGUGAAUCAUCGAAUCUUUGAACGCACAUUGCGCCCGCCAGCAUUCUGGCGGGCAUGCCUGUUCGAGCGUCAUUUCAACCCUCAAGCUCUGCUUGGUGUUGGGGCCCUACAGCCGAUGUAGGCCCUCAAAGGUAGUGGCGGACCCUCCCGGAGCCUCCUUUGCGUAGUAACUUUCGUCUCGCACUGGGAUCCGGAGGGACUCUUGCCGUAAAACCCCCAAUUCUCCAAAGGUUGACCUCGGAUCAGGUAGGAAUACCCGCUGAACUUA
rnacentral:rRNA from 1 species